rnacentral:rRNA from 1 species
UACGUAGGGGGCGAGCGUUGUCCGGAAUCAUUGGGCGUAAAGAGCGUGUAGGCGGCUUGGUAGGUCCGCUGUGAAAACUCGAGGCUCAACCUCGAGAUGUCGGCGGAAACCACUUGGCUAGAGUCCGGAAGAGGAGAGUGGAAUUCCCGGUGUAGCGGUGAAAUGCGCAGAUAUCGGGAAGAACACCUAUGGCGAAGGCAGCUCUCUGGGACGGUACUGACGCUGAGACGCGAAAGCGUGGGGAGCGAACAGG